rnacentral:rRNA from 1 species
AGUGAACGCUGGCGGUAGGCCUAACACAUGCAAGUCGAACGGCAGCACAGUAAGAGCUUGCUCUUACGGGUGGCGAGUGGCGGACGGGUGAGGAAUACAUCGGAAUCUACUUUUUCGUGGGGGAUAACGUAGGGAAACUUACGCUAAUACCGCAUACGACCUACGGGUGAAAGCAGGGGAUCUUCGGACCUUGCGCGAUUGAAUGAGCCGAUGUCGGAUUAGCUAGUUGGCGGGGUAAAGGCCCACCAAGGCGACGAUCCGUAGCUGGUCUGAGCGGAUGAUCAGCCACACUGGAACUGAGACACGGUCCAGACUCCUGCAGGAGGCAGCAGUGGGGAAUAUUGGACAAUGGUCGCAAGCCUGAUCCAGCCAUACCGCGUGGGUGAAGAAGGCCUUCGGGUUGUGAAGCCCUUUUGUUGGGAAAGAAAAGCAGCAGGUUAAUACCCCGCUGUUCUGACGGUACCCAAAGAAUAAGCACCGGCUAACUUCGUG